AUUGAACGCUGGCGGCAGGCCUAACACAUGCAAGUCGAGCGAGCGGAGGACAGGUGUGUAAUGUCUGGGGAACUGCCUGCUGGAGGGGGAUAACUACUGGAAACGGUAGCUACAACCGCAUACAAUCUGAUAGGCCCAGAUGGGAUUAGCUCGUAGGUGGGGUAACGGCUCACCUAGGCGACGCUCCCUAGCUGGUCUGAGAGGAUGACCAGCCACACUGGAACUGAGACACGGUCCAGACUCCUACGGGAGGCAGCAGUGGGGAAUAUUGGACAAUGGGCGCAAGCCUGAUGCAGCCAUGCCGCGUGUGUGAAGAAGGCCUUCGGGUUGUAAAGCACUUUCAGCGGGGAGGCGUUACCCGCAGAAGAAGCACCGGCUAACUCCGUGCCAGCAGCCGCGGUAAUUC
rnacentral:rRNA from 1 species